AGAGUUUGAUCCUGGCUCAGAAUCAACGCUGGCGGCGUGCCUAACACAUGCAAGUCGAACGAGAAAGUCCCGCAAGGGAUGAGUAAAGUGGCGCACGGGUGAGUAACACGUAGCCAACCUACCCUCGAGUGGGGGAUAACCUGGGGAAACUCGGGCUAAUACCGCAUACGUCCGGGCUGCACAAGCAGUUCGGAGCAAAG
rnacentral:rRNA from 1 species